UACGUAGGGUGCGAGCGUUGUCCGGAAUCACUGGGCGUAAAGGGCGCGUAGGUGGCGACCCAAGUCUGUGGUGAAAGCUCGCCGCUUAACGGCGAGUCGGCCACGGAUACUGGGUGGCUCGAGCACUGUAGGGGCAGAUGGAAUUCCGGGUGUAGCGGUGGAAUGCGUAGAGAUCCGGAAGAACACCGGUGGCGAAGGCGGUCUGCUGGGCAGUAGCUGACACUGAGGCGCGACAGCGUGGGGAGCAAACAGG
rnacentral:rRNA from 1 species